rnacentral:rRNA from 1 species
GAUGAACGCUGGCGGCGUGCUUAACACAUGCAAGUCGAACGGAAAGGCUCCUGCUUGCAGGGGUACUCGAGUGGCGAACGGGUGAGUAACACGUGGGUGAUCUGCCCUGCACUUCGGGAUAAGCCUGGGAAACUGGGUCUAAUACCGGAUAGGACCACAUUUUGGAUGGUGUGGUGGAAAGUUUUUCGGUGUGGGAUGAGCUCGCGGCCUAUCAGCCUGUUGGUGGGGUAAUGGCCUACCAAGGCGUCGACGGGUAGCCGGCCUGAGAGGGUGUACGGCCACAUUGGGACUGAGAUACGGCCCAGACUCCUACGGGAGGCAGCAGUGGGGAAUAUUGCACAAUGGGCGCAAGCCUGAUGCAGCGACGCCGCGUGGGGGAUGACGGCCUUCGGGUUGUAAACUCCUUUCGCUAGGGACGAAGCGUUUUUGUGACGGUACCUGGAGAAGAAGCACCGGCUAACUACGUG